CUUAGGGCCUCCGGCCCUCUGGGCUGCGGGGCCGCCUCCUCCAAACGCGCCUUAAGCGGUUUUGCAGUGGCUUUCCGCCCCAGGGCUGGGAGGCGCCCCGGCCCUGAGUCAGUCACCCUUUGGCCGGGCAGGCGGUUCCCGGGCGCGGAGGAUGGAAACCUGGCGAUAACCUCAGCAGGUCGUCGUGCCACUCGGUGUGCGCAAGGCCUCCGGAGGCAUCUUUUCAUUUUUAGGGGUCGCUUUCCACGAAUUCAUUUGAGCUACACAGCAGUCCUGGGCGGUGGGGAGUGGUGAGCUCCAUUGUACACACUUGGAAGCAGUCCAGAAAGGUGAAGACCUGUUCGUGAACUCCAGAGGCCAUUGGAAGCGUGGAAGGCUAUGGUUGGCACUCUUCCUCUUUUUCCAGUUGACUGAGGCAGAUGGGAGGCCCGGAGGAGAAAGAAUGAAGGCAGGCAUUUCAGCCGGAGUAAACUCUCCAGACCCUCUCUGUGCCAGGCAGUGUUGCAAGCUUCGGCUUCCAGCACAGUGCUUUGUGCACAGUAAACACUCCAGCGGCUGUUGACCAAUGAAUGAAUGAAGAUCGUACGCUCAAAUAUUCUAGUUAUCAAAGUGCAAAGAAUGAGAGGUUGUUUGCACUGGACUUCAAAAAUAAAUAGCCUGGACCUGUACUGUCUUACACAACAGCUAUGAGCUACUGGUGUCUACUAGAAAAUGUAAAAUUACAGAUUUGUCUUGUAUUACAUCUCUAGAAGCUCCAACCAACAGGGGGACCCUGAAGUAUGAAGAGGAAAGCCGAUGUGAAAAAUGUGUCUCCCUGGUUCUGUCUGACUGUUAGAGAGGGCUUUGCUUUAGAAGCUUAACUGUUCUGAUUAUUUUGGGGGCAUGAGGUAAUCUGGAAAGUAAAGUUCAACCUAAAAAUUAACUGAAGUGUUGAGUGUUGUGUAGGAGAAACAGUGGAAAUUACUGGUUAAUCAGAAUAGUUUUAUACUUGGGUAGAGAAGGAUGGAGUCCCAGAAAGUAGAUAAAACUGAUCUUUAGGAAACAAUUCCCAAAAAAGGAAACGAAUAAAGUACUCAGGUUGGGUGUAGUGGUUCAUGCCUGUAAUCUCAGCACUUUGAGAGGCCAAGAGGGGCAGAUGCUUGAGCCCAGGAGUUCAA